CCAUAGCUCAGCAGGAUAGAGCGACCGCCUCCUAAGCGGUAGGCCGGGGGUUCGAAUCCCUUUGGGUG
rnacentral:tRNA from 2 species